GACGAACGCUGGCGGCGUGCUUAACACAUGCAAGUCGAACGGAAAGGCCUCUUUCGGGGGGUACUCGAGUGGCGAACGGGUGAGUAACACGUGAGUAACCUGCCCUUGACUUUGGGAUAACUUCAGGAAACUGGGGCUAAUACCGGAUAGGAGCUCCUGCUGCAUGGUGGGGGUUGGAAAGUUUCGGCGGUUGGGGAUGGACUCGCGGCUUAUCAGCUUGUUGGUGGGGUAGUGGCUUACCAAGGCUUUGACGGGUAGCCGGCCUGAGAGGGUGACCGGCCACAUUGGGACUGAGAUACGGCCCAGACUCCUACGGGAGGCAGCAGUGGGGAAGAUUGCACAAUGGGUGGAAGCCUGAUGCAGCAACGCCGGGUGCGGGAUGACGGCCUUCGGGUUGUAAACCGCUUUCGCUCAUGACGAAGCUUUGUGUGACGGUAGUGGGUAAAGAAGCACCGGCUAACUACGUG
rnacentral:rRNA from 1 species